UUCGCUCGCCGACCUCCCCCUCCGCAACUCCUUUUCCAUAUUUCCUUUCCCUCUGUUUAGCUUCGUUCAUCUUCCCUUCUUCGUUAUUUCCACCGAAGACUGCUGCCUCCCCCUUUGAAUCAACGCCUGCACCUCCACUCACGUUUGUCUUCUCCACCGUCAGCCUGCUCCUCUGCCAGCCCUUGUUUCCCUCGACUUCUUCGUGCGUCACCCGUCCAAGUCAACACACCUCCCCCAAGAAGUCUCCAUUGUUGACUCCUCUAGCAUCAUCAUCCGUAGCCCAUCACCCCAUUUCCACUCCAUUUCACUGCCACGUUCGGUCAACACACAGGUGAAACUCUUCACCAAAUUUGACCGCAAUCUCCACACGUCCGAAGCCAGCUGCACGCCAGCGAAACCCAAGCGAAGCAGCAUCACCGUCAACCGAAGCAACGGCAACCCAGCGAGCUUCACGUCCCACUGAUGCAGUCCACGAUUCCACCGAAAAUUCCUGCAACAGCUUUCACGGCCCAGCAGCUCCAUCCAGCGUUUUGGGCCCCGUUCAGCAGCCCACAAAAUUGUCUUCUUCAGCCCACACGAAUUUGACGAGCCCAUCUUCAGCAACUCGGCCGGAAUCAGCCUAGUUUUGAAGCCCACAGUUUAACCCACCUUGAGGCCCACUUGAAGUCAGCCCAUCUCAGCCCAAGUCCAGACCAAGCCCAGCAUUUUGCUGUGGGCUUGCAAGGCUUUUGGGCCCGGUCCAUGUGCCGUCGAUGCCGUCGAAAAUUCGGAGUUCGGCCAUUGUCGCGCCGUUGUUGCGGGAGAAUCGGUCUUCGCUUUUAACAAGACAACAUUUCAGGUCCCUAGAUGCAGCAGACUUGGAUUUUGAAGAUGUUGGAAGUUUGGUGCAAUCUGCUGAAGGCUCCGGUUGGAGUGUGGAGGAUGAUGAGGAGGAGGACGAGGACCCGUAGUUUGUGGAACCCCCACCCCCGCUUGUAGACCUUGUUCCUGAACUUGUUUAAGUUGAAUCUGACUUAGUAGUCCGUCUCAUAUAUACGUGCACUGGUUUGCAAUGUAUAUAAGUGUAAUUGUUUUUGAAAGUUUGGAAUUUGAAAUCUUACUUUCCUA